UACGAAGGGGGCUAGCGUUGUUCGGAAUUACUGGGCGUAAAGCGCGCGUAGGCGGACAUUUAAGUCAGGGGUGAAAUGCCGGGGCUCAACCUCGGAACUGCCUUUGAUACUGGGUGUCUGGAGUUCGGGAGAGGUGAGUGGAACUGCGAGUGUAGAGGUGAAAUUCGUAGAUAUUCGCAAGAACACCAGUGGCGAAGGCGCUCACUGGCCCGAUACUGACGCUGAGGCACGAAAGCGUGGGGAGCAAACAGG
rnacentral:rRNA from 1 species